rnacentral:rRNA from 1 species
UACAGGGGGUGCAAACGUUGCUCGGAAUUACUGGGCGUAAAGCGAGUGUAGGCGGUUUGGUAAGUCGGAUGUGAAAGCCCUGGGCUCAACCCAGGAAGUGCAUUCGAUACUGUCAAGCUAGAGUAUCGGAGAGGUUGGUGGAAUUCUCGGUGUAGAGGUGAAAUUCGUAGAUAUCGAGAGGAACACCGGUGGCGAAGGCGGCCAACUGGACGAAUACUGACGCUGAGACUCGAAAGCGUGGGGAGCAAACAGG